GACGAACGCUGGCGGCGUGCUUAACACAUGCAAGUCGAACGAAGUGGCGAACGGGUGAGUAACGCGUAAUCAACCUGCCCUUAAGAGGGGGACAACAGUUGGAAACGACUGCUAAUACCGCAUAGUGAAGGAGGGGAUUGCGUCUGAUUCGGUCGUUGGAGGGGUAACGGCCCGCCAAGGAGAUGGUCAGUAGCCGGUCUGAGGGGUAGGACGGCCACAUUGGGACUGGGACACGGCCCAGACUCCUACGGGAGGCAGCAGUGGGGAAUCUUCCGCAAUGGACGAAAGUCUGACGGAGCAACGCCGCGUGAGUGAUGACGGCCUUCGGGUUGUAAAGCUCUGUUAAUCGGGACGCGGUACCGGAAUAGAAAGCCACGGCUAACUCCGUGCCAGCAGCCGCGGUAAUAC
rnacentral:rRNA from 1 species